AUGGAUGAUGCCUUUAAGUUCAUAAUCAAGAAUGGUGGUCUCACCACCGAGUCCAACUACCCAUAUACCGCGGCAAAUGACAAGUGCAAGAGUGGAACCAAUGAUGCCGCAACCAUCAAAAGCUAUGAGGAUGUACCAACCAACAAUGAGGGAGCCCUCAUGCAAGCCGUCGCAAGUCAACCUGUCUCGGUAGCCGUAGAUGGAGGAGAUAUGACGUUCCAGUUUUACAAAGGUGGAGUGAUGACUGGCUCAUGUGGCACUGAUCUAGACCAUGGAAUUGCAGCUAUUGGUUAUGGCAAGACCAGCGACGGCACAAAGUAUUGGUUGUUAAAGAACUCAUGGGGAACAACAUGGGGCGAGAACGGAUAUUUAAGAAUGGAAAAGGACAUUACCGACAAGAGGGGCAUGUGUGGCCUUGCGAUGGAGCCUUCUUACCCCACUGCAUAG
rnacentral:rRNA from 1 species